rnacentral:lncRNA from 1 species
UCUUAACCACCCACUCUGUAUUACAUGUUAUAGUAGUCUAUGUCUUUAGGAAAGCUGAGACGAUUCCAAGACUUUCUCUCCUUUGACCAACAGGAGAUUCCAACAUCCACCAUCUGAUCCAUCACCCAGACAACAAUGAUAAUGAUUCUGCUGGUGUUUCUGCUGCUGAUGGGUCAGGUGAUGUGAAGUAUGACAAGAUUCAACUAAAGAAGUUGGACAAGAAAAAGAGAGGUGAUUCAACAGUACCAUAAUUGAAUAUAGUUGUCACACAAUUAAAUCUGAAUAACAAAAACAAACUAUUCGCUUCUAUUCAGAAAAGCCAGCCGAUCCAAAUAAAAAUACAGUCUACUCUGAGAUGAAGACAGUGAAAACUACAGCAUCGUCUGGGCCAGUUGAUGUAACCUAUUCUGAGAUUGACCUAAAAACAAUGGUAAUUUUUCCCCAUUUAUAACCUCAUACCUCUUUAUCCCAUAUUGAACAGUUGGAUAAUAUCCUAUAUAAAACGAAUACAUUCUUCCUCUGUUUAAUUCCCAUCUACCACAGAAUCAACAACCCUGCCAGAGUCAGAAUCAGUUUAUUCUCCAGUAAAGACAUUCCCAGUCCAUAGUAAGACUAGAUCACAUCUAUUAAAGGGUAUGGAACUAAUGGUCUGAUAUUAGAGUAUAUCUAAGUAUGUCCUAACAAACUCUAUGUGUUGACAUGUUGCAGGUCCUUGAGGGAGAUGAACACAAUCAGUUGAGGAACAGGAACAACCAGGGAACAUGGAUGUAGUUUUUGUACCCACACUCUCCCUGUAACCACAGAAAUGUGACACACACAUCACACACCCAGUCACAUAUGGACCACACACACAAUAAUGCCUUACACAUUAGGAAGGAUUUCUAUCAUACUAUGCUGUCAACAGAUACAAUAUUUUGAUUAUUCUAGCUAGAGACUGUUUUUUUUUAUUGGUAAUUGUACAGUAGUCAAUAAAACCUAAUC